CUUUAGCACCAAGUAUUAAAGGUGACGCCUGCCCAGUGAUUAAUUAAACGGCCGCGGGAUCCUCCACCGUGCAAAGGUAGCAUAAUCACUUGUCCCCUAAAUAGUGACUAGUAUGAACGGCCUAAUGAAGAUUUAACUGUCUCUUGUAACUAAUCUAUGAAACUAGUCUCUCAGUACAAAAACUGAAAUACUAACAUAAGACGAAAAGACCCUGUGGAACUUCAAGCGCAAUCCAACCACAUGGCCCCCCGCUUUUAGUUGGGGCAACUUUGGAAAAAAACAGAACUUCCAAUUUAUUAUAAGGUGCACACACCUAUUUCUAAACACCUGACCCAGUAUUACUGAUUAAAGAACCAAGCUACCCCAGGGAUAACAGCGCCAUCCCCUCCAAGAGCCCAAAUCGACGAGCGGGGUUUACGACCUCGAUGUUGGAUCAGGGCCCCCAAACAGUGCAACCGCUGUUAAAGGUUUGUUUGUUCAACAAUUAAAGC
rnacentral:rRNA from 1 species